rnacentral:rRNA from 1 species
UAGGGAAUCUUCGGCAAUGGGGGCAACCCUGACCGAGCAACGCCGCGUGCGUGAAGAAGGUUUUCGGAUCGUAAAGCUCUGUUGUAAGAGAAGAACGUGUGUGAGAGUGGAAAGUUCACACAGUGACGGUAACUUACCAGAAAGGGACGGCUAACUACGUGCCAGCAGCCGCGGUAAUACGUAGGUCCCGAGCGUUGUCCGGAUUUAUUGGGCGUAAAGCGAGCGCAGGCGGUUUAAUAAGUCUGAAGUUAAAGGCAGUGGCUUAACCAUUGUUCGCUUUGGAAACUGUUAAAAUUGAGUGCAGAAGGGGAGAGUGGAAUUCCAUGUGUAGCGGUGAAAUGCGUAGAUAUAUGGAGGAACACCGGUGGCGAAAGCGGCUCUCUGGUCUGUAACUGACGCUGAGGCUCGAAAGCGUGGGGAGCAAACAGG